GAUGAACGCUGGCGGCGUGCCUAAUACAUGCAAGUCGAGCGAACGGACGAGAAGCUUGCUUCUCUGAUGUUAGCGGCGGACGGGUGAGUAACACGUGGAUAACCUACCUAUAAGACUGGGAUAACUUCGGGAAACCGGAGCUAAUACCGGAUAAUAUUUUGAACCGCAUGGUUCAAAAGUGAAAGACGGUCUUGCUGUCACUUAUAGAUGGAUCCGCGCUGCAUUAGCUAGUUGGUAAGGUAACGGCUUACCAAGGCAACGAUGCAUAGCCGACCUGAGAGGGUGAUCGGCCACACUGGAACUGAGACACGGUCCAGACUCCUACGGGAGGCAGCAGUAGGGAAUCUUCCGCAAUGGGCGAAAGCCUGACGGAGCAACGCCGCGUGAGUGAUGAAGGUCUCCGGAUCGUAAAACUCUGUUAUUAGGGAAGAACAUAUGUGUAAGUAACUGUGCACAUCUUGACGGUACCUAAUCAGAAAGCCACGGCUAACUACGUG
rnacentral:rRNA from 1 species